rnacentral:rRNA from 1 species
GAAUCGCAUGGCCUUGCGCCGGCGAUGGUUCAUUCAAAUUUCUGCCCUAUCAACUUUCGAUGGCAGGGUCUUGGCCUGCCAUGGUUACAACGGGUAACGGAGGGUUAGGGCUCGACCCCGGAGAAGGAGCCUGAGAAACGGCUACUACAUCCAAGGAAGGCAGCAGGCGCGCAAAUUACCCAAUCCCGAUUCGGGGAGGUAGUGACAAUAAAUACUGAUACAGGGCUCUUUUGGGUCUUGUAAUUGGAAUGAGUACAAUUUAAAUCCCUUAACGAGGAACAAUUGGAGGGCAAGUCUGGUGCCAGCAGCCGCGGUAAUUCCAGCUCCAAUAGCGUAUAUUAAAGUUGUUGCAGUUAAAAAGCUCGUAGUUGAACCUUGGGCCUGGCUGGCCGGUCCGCCUCACCGCGUGCACUGGUUCGGCCGGGCCUUUCCCUCUGGGGAACCUCAUGGUCUUCACUGAUCGUGAUGGGGAACCAGGACUUUUACUGUGAAAAAAUUAGAGUGUUCAAAGCAGGCCUAUGCUCGAAUACAUUAGCAUGGAAUAAUAAAAUAGGACGUGUGGUUCUAUUUUGUUGGUUUCUAGGACCGCCGUAAUGAUUAAUAGGGACAGUCGGGGGCAUCAGUAUUCAAUUGUCAGAGGUGAAAUUCUUGGAUUUAUUGAAGACUAACUACUGCGAAAGCAUUUGCCAAGGAUGUUUUCAUUAAUCAGGAACGAAAGUUAGGGGAUCGAAGACGAUCAGAUACCGUCGUAGUCUUAACCAUAAACUAUGCCGACUAGGGAUCGGACGGUGUUACUUAUUGACCCGUUCGGCACCUUACGAGAAAUCAAAGUCUUGGGU